rnacentral:rRNA from 1 species
UAGGGAAUCUUCCACAAUGGGCGCAAGCCUGAUGGAGCAACACCGCGUGAGUGAAGAAGGGUUUCGGCUCGUAAAGCUCUGUUGUUGGAGAAGAACGUGCGUGAGAGUAACUGUUCACGCAGUGACGGUAUCCAACCAGAAAGUCACGGCUAACUACGUGCCAGCAGCCGCGGUAAUACGUAGGUGGCAAGCGUUAUCCGGAUUUAUUGGGCGUAAAGCGAGCGCAGGCGGUUGCUUAGGUCUGAUGUGAAAGCCUUCGGCUUAACCGAAGAAGGGCAUCGGAAACCGGGCGACUUGAGUGCAGAAGAGGACAGUGGAACUCCAUGUGUAGCGGUGGAAUGCGUAGAUAUAUGGAAGAACACCAGCGGCGAAGGCGGCUGUCUGGUCUGCAACUGACGCUGAGGCUCGAAAGCAUGGGUAGCGAACA